GCAGCUAUCGUUUGGCUUGAGGCUCAUC
rnacentral:piRNA from 1 species